AUGGAGCGGCAGGGCGACUCGAGGCGGCCUCUGCCGAGGCGCGGGCAGGUGAAGGCCAGCAUAUUCGCGUGCCUCUUCCCGUGCCUCUUCCGCAAGGCGGAGCGGAAGGAGGGCAAGGCCAGGGCUAAAGAAGGCGGCAGCGGCGGCCGCCGCGUCGCGCCCGGUGGUUGA
rnacentral:rRNA from 1 species